rnacentral:tRNA from 1 species
AUGUGGCAUUUUUACCCCCAGAAAGUCAAUCAACUGUCUGAUGCUAAAUACCCACUUUAUUAUAUAACUUCCCUCUGGGAAUCAAAACAAAAUAACACUGGAUCAAACGCUUCAGUUAAUGAAUGCAGUGGAGAAUCAGGUCAAGAGACUGAGCAAGUGGAAAAGACACCAUGGUUUGGAGGGAGAAAAAAGAUUUUAUACCUGGGCUUCAGAGCCUGGAGCUGGUAUAACAGAAAAUACAUGAAGACAAUCAAGAUGCCUUUCUUCAAGUCCAUCUGCAAAUCCGAUCGAAGCAAGGAAAUGAAUGUGCCUGCCAGGACCAACUUCUACAACUACCUGCCACUACUCAACUGUUCUUAUUAACUUCUUCGUUACUACUUGUCUUUAAUACUCAGGUGGUGAGAGAAAAAUGCAGCACAUUGUAUGGACCUUAUGGAUGAAUUCUGUGUGACUUUGUAAACUCACUCUUAAUGUGCUAUUGAAAUACUCUCUGUACAAUCCUCUCCGUAAUGGGAGUAUGGUAUGUUUCUUAGUUCCAAAGUGCAACUACCUAAACUUUGGCUUUAUUUGGAGCACCUGGAUUUGUAAGGUGAUGUUCACACUUUACUUAGAAAACAGUAUACUGAACUGUAAAGCUCUGAAACUUAUAUUAUGAUUGGGUUGUGGGAUUAUUUCCACCAGGUUGCUGAAGUAGCUCAGCUGGGAGAGCGUUAGACUGAAGAUCUAAAGGUCCCUGGUUCAAUCCCGGGCUUCAGCAGUCGUUUUUCCAUAGUUUUGUGAGUUUCAGUUGUAGUUUGUACAACACAAAUGGAGAUGUGGCACAGUCUGGAGCCUGGGAGUUGCCCCUCUCCAUCAGGAUGUGUUGAGUAGGUGCUGUUAAGGAGACAAACUUGUCUUUAGACUGAGGACAGUCAUUUUUUGCCUGUCCGUUCAUCUCUUUUCAUGGCUUCCCAGCUGCACCAUUGCUAAUGAAAUCUGUACAGUGAUAUUCUGUCAUUUCACAGAAGGUGAUCCUGAGGCUGGAAGUAAGAUGUUUCUUGAGGUGACUGAUAAAGGUCUGUGUAAGAAAAGGGAUCUCCUGGUCCAAGCUAAAAUUGUUAAAAGGUGUUCAAGGCCAGGUUGGAUGAGGCCCUAGGCAGCUUGGUCUAAUAUUAAAUGGGGAUGUUGGUGGUCCUACCUUUGGUAGUGGGCAAAGGGGCAGGGUUGGAGAUUCAUUAUCAUUGAGGUCCCUUCCAGCCUGUGAUUUCUGUGAUUUAUCUUUACUUCUGAACUUCUGAAGAACUAAAAACACAGCAAAACUCUACUGGCACUUCCCAUGAGAGUGUUUUGCCUACUAACUAAUGGAAAUACCUGGGGAGUUACUCAAACAUGUCCUCCUCCAAGUUUACUGUUUACUGUUUGCAAACACGGGCACACAGAAAUUGAUGUAUGAAUGGCAGAAAAUAACACUGCAGGAAGAAAUGAUUUGCCUAGCAAACAGAAAUGAUUACUCCAAUUUUAAUUCCCAUUCUUUCUUUAUGGAUGUCCACAUGAACUGCAAAAACUCAAACUGGAUAUUGGCCCUGAGGAGUUUCUUAUGUCAGCACUGUAAUAAUUACCUCUAAUUAUUAUGGAAUGAGAAUAAAAGGACAUUCCCCAUAGCUAGGAAAUGGUCA